CGUCUUCCUCCUUGGUCUGCCCAGGCUCCCCCUCGGUCCGCGUCCCUGAGGCGAGAGCAUGUCGGCGGAGGAGGAUUUGGCUGGUGAGAUGGCAGGGCGCAAGGAGAUGGCGCUCGACCUGGCAAGUUCGUUGACAAGGGCGUCCAGGUCAAGCUCACCGGCGGCCGCCAAGGCAAUGCCCCUGGACCCCAUUCUCCGCCCAUCCGGCAGUGUGCUGGAUGUCGUCCUCCUCGACACGGCCGUCCCCGAAGAGCUCUCUUGGUCAGAGGAGGUGGAGCAGCAAGGCCUCCUAUCCUCCAGCGCAUGGACCGACGGCUGCGUCCUCUUGCUCUCCUAGCGUGAUCUGACCUCUUCUGUCUUCACCUGACCACGACCACAACGAUGGCGAGGAGAAGGCUACAAGGAGGUGGACAACCUUCAGGCUGCCACACAAGAUGACCAAGGCCUUCGAGUACAAGAGGCUGCUGCUUGACUAUAACAGCGAACACGACCAACAAGUUCUGCCAGCGCGAGGCAAGCAACGACAUGCUCGGUUACCCCCACCUGUGAGUCGUGCUCCCCUUGCCCAGCCGCCCCUUCCCGCAAGUCUCUCUAGAUUUGGGAGCACUGCUAGAUCCUCUGCACUGGAAACGAUCAUAUAUUCAGAUGAUCAGCAUCUAAAGUCGUUGAGUGGCUGCUGCUGUGAACGAAGAUCAGAAGAAGCCUAGAGAUGUGCACAAUAGUUUUAGUUGAUGUUGCCACCAUGUUUUGGUGCGUGUGUAUUUGUUUCCGAUUGUAUGUACACUUGAUGGAUCGUGCGGAUGUGUAUGAGCUGUUGUGAGUUUCAUUGAGGGAUUUCUAGAUUUGAUCAUUUAAUU